CUAAAAGCACACUACUUUAGAGAAGGGUAUCAGCUCACCCUUUAACUCCUUAUCUUGUGCUACCUUCCCUGCAGUCUCAUCUACUAUGCUCCUUCCUUCCAGGUACAUACAGAUCAAUUGAUUACCUCACUUCUGUGUAAUAUUACUUAGGCAGGGCCCUGUUCAUCUGUCAAACAUGAUAGAAUUGUCUUGUUUACCUAUUGUACAGCGCUGUGAAAUAUAUUUGCACUAUAUAAAUAAAUGUACUGGACACACAUUAAUAUAUAAGGGGCAAUCACUGUCACUGUGCUAACAGUUUCAUAAAGGAUCACGAAGCAUAUAAAGUACUUAACUUGGGUCACAGUGGGGGGGGGGGGAAUUAUAAAUUGAUAAAUUAAAUAUGCUGUAACAUUUUUAACCCCUUAAGGACCAAACUUCUGUUAUAAAAGGGAAUCAUGACAUGUCACACAUGUC